GAUUGAACGCUGGCGGCAGGCUUAACACAUGCAAGUCGAGCGGAGAUGAGGUGCUUGCACCUUAUCUUAGCGGCGGACGGGUGAGUAAUGCUUAGGAAUCUGCCUAUUAGUGGGGGACAACAUUCCGAAAGGAAUGCUAAUACCGCAUACGCCCUACGGGGGAAAGCAGGGGAUCUUCGGACGUUGCGCUAAUAGAUGAGCCUAAGUCGGAUUAGCUAGUUGGUGGGGUAAAGGCCUACCAAGGCGACGAUCUGUAGCGGGUCUGAGAGGAUGAUCCGCCACACUGGGACUGAGACACGGCCCAGACUCCUACGGGAGGCAGCAGUGGGGAAUAUUGGACAAUGGGCGGAAGCCUGAUCCAGCCAUGCCGCGUGUGUGAAGAAGGCCUUUUGGUUGUAAAGCACUUUAAGCGAGGAGGAGGCUACCUGGAUUAAUACUCUAGGAUAGUGGACGUUACUCGCAGAAUAAGCACCGGCUAACUCUGUGCCAGCAGCCGCGGUAAUACAGAGGGUGCGAGCGUUAAUCGGAUUUACUGGGCGUAAAGCGUGCGUAGGCGGCUGAUUAAGUCGGAUGUGAAAUCCCUGAGCUUAACUUAGGAAUUGCAUUCGAUACUGGUCAGCUAGAGUAUGGGAGAGGAUGGUAGAAUUCCAGGUGUAGCGGUGAAAUGCGUAGAGAUCUGGAGGAAUACCGAUGGCGAAGGCAGCCAUCUGGCCUAAUACUGACGCUGAGGUACGAAAGCAUGGGGAGCAAACAGGAUUAGAUACCCUGGUAGUCCAUGCCGUAAACGAUGUCUACUAGCCGUUGGGGCCUUUGAGGCUUUAGUGGCGCAGCUAACG
rnacentral:rRNA from 1 species